rnacentral:lncRNA from 1 species
AAAAAUUCAUUCAUAACUUUACAAAAGGAAUUCCUUCAUUCAUUUACAAAAAUUCAUUCAUAACUUCACAAAAUUCCUUCUACACAGCUUCUGCAUUCCUUCUAUCACAGCUUUACAUAACUUCACAAAAAUUCCUUCAUAACUUCUGCAGCCUUCAAUCAAUUCCUUCAUUAAUUUCUGCAUUCACAAAAGGAUUCCUUCUUCAAAAUGUCUCCUUCUACUUCACAUAACUUCAGUUCUUUGAAUUUGAAGUUCAUGCACCAUCAUCUCA